ACUUUCCGGUUUUGGCGCUGCAUUCGCUUUACAACUUAAUUUCCGUGAGAGGAAUUCGGCCAUUUCUUCUCCGAGUGUAACCGGGUAUAGUCGCUGUGCUUGCGAAGCUGAGCAGUGACUAUACAAAAUGGUAAACGGACGAAUUCCGUCAGUCUUUUCGAAGACUUAUGUUACGCCCAGAAGACCUUAUGAAAAGGCUCGUUUAGAUCAAGAAUUACGUACUAUCGGUGAAUACGGUCUUCGUAAUAAACGCGAAGUAUGGAGAGUCAAAUAUACUUUGGCUAAUAUCAGAAAAGCUGCUCGUGAGCUGCUUACUCUUGAAGAAAAGGAUCCCAAACGUCUGUUCGAAGGAAAUGCUCUGUUGCGUCGUCUGGUAAGAAUUGGUGUAUUAGAUGAGAGUCGCAUGAAACUCGAUUAUGUCCUUGGCUUGAAGAUCGAAGAUUUCUUGGAGAGGCGUCUUCAAACUCAAGUAUUCAAAUUGGGACUUGCCAAGUCUAUUCAUCAUGCUCGUGUACUGAUUCGUCAACGUCAUAUUCGGUAUCCAAAGAGUUUACCCGGUUGAUAGUCCAAACAUAUUUAAAAAAUGUGAAUUUAAAUAUGGAUGAGCAAUUACACUGUUAACGUUGAAAGCUGUUUUUGUUUCAGACAGGCCACUUAAGUGUCAGGAAACUGGCACUUAACGUCUGUCAUUGUACUAACGGAUUUAUCCACAUUGAUAAUAAUUGAGUACGCAAACAGGUGGUGAACAUUCCAUCCUUCAUUGUGCGUUUAGAUUCGCAAAAGCACAUAGACUUCUCGCUGAAGUCUCCGUUCGGUGGUGGCAGACCUGGUCGUGUAAAGAGGAAGAAUUUGCGUAAGGGAAGUGGUGGAGCUGCC